rnacentral:rRNA from 1 species
UCGGCUCUUGCAUCGAUGAAGAACGUAGCGAAAUGCGAUACUUGGUGUGAAUUGCAGAAUCCCGUGAACCAUCAAUUCUUUGAACGCAAGUUGCGCCCGAAGCCAUUCGGCCGAGGGCACGCCUGCCUGGGCGUCGUGA